GGGGGCGAAACGGGUUCGACGGGGAUAAAGAAGCUUGAGUGGCAUACCGAGGUUCCAUCUGCUCGUAAAACAGGUGGAGACAAAGUAGACGCAGAUGAUUAUGCGUAUGCCCUAGCCGCCUAAAAGGCUAGCGCCCUGUCUUUCUAUCCUGCGAGAUUGAUAAGGGCGUCGACAUAGCGGGAUAGCCUUUCCCUUUAACCUGUAGACUGGAGGGGCGAAAUUUUAUACAGGUUAGUCCCUUGGCAACCUGGCCUGGUAGGGAACCCUGGGGCGAAAAUCUAAUAUCGGGCUAUGUAUGUAGAAGCUUAAGCGGAAUAUUUUCGGACGGGGGUUCGACUCCCCCCGCCUCCACC
rnacentral:tmRNA from 1 species